AUUGAACGCUGGCGGCAGGCUUAACACAUGCAAGUCGAGCGAGCGGCGGACGGGUGCAUCAUGUCUGUGAAACUGCCUGAUGGCUGGGGUUCCCUACUGGAAACGGUAGCUAAUACCGCAUACCUUCAGAUGAGCGCAGAUGGGAUUAGCUAGUAGGUGGUGUAAUGGCUCACCUCGGCGACGAUCCCUAGCUGGUCUGAGAGGAUGACCAGCCACACUGGAACUGAGACACGGUCCAGACUCCUACGGGAGGCAGCAGUGGGGAAGAUUGCACAAUGGGCGAAAGCCUGAUGCAGCCAUGCCGCGUGUGUGAAGAAGGUCUUCGGGUUGUAAAGCACUUUCAGCGGGGAGGCGUUACGCGCAGAAGAAGCACCGGCUAACUCCGUGCCAGCAGCCGCGGUAAUAC
rnacentral:rRNA from 1 species